UACGGAGGGGGCUAGCGUUGUCCGAAGUUACUGGGCGUAAAGCGCGCGUAGGCGGGUUGGUAAGUCCGCUGUGAAAGCCCGGAGCUUAACUCCGGAGGGUCGGUGGAUACUGCCAGUCUUGAAGGUGCUAGGGGGAGAUGGAAUUACCGGUGUAGCGGUGAAAUGCGUAGAUAUCGGUAGGAACACCAGUGGCGAAGGCGGUCUCCUGGGGCAUUCUUGACGCUCAUGCACGAAGGCCAGGGGAGCAAACGGG
rnacentral:rRNA from 1 species